rnacentral:rRNA from 1 species
GACGUAGGGCGCGAGCGUUGUCCGGAUUUAUUGGGCGUAAAGAGCUCGUAGGCGGCUUGUCGCGUCGUCCGUGAAAACUUGGGGCUCAACCCCAAGCUUGCGGUCGAUACGGGCAGGCUCGAGUUCGGUAGGGGAGACUGGAAUUCCUGGUGUAGCGGUGAAAUGCGCAGAUAUCAGGAGGAACACCGGUGGCGAAGGCGGGUCUCUGGGCCGAUACUGACGCUGAGGAGCGAAAGCGUGGGGGAGCGAACAGG